UACGGGGGGGGCAAGCGUUGUUCGGAAUUAUUGGGCGUAAAGAGCUCGUAGGCGGUCUGUCGCGUCUGCUGUGAAAUCCCGAGGCUCAACCUCGGGCCUGCAGUGGGUACGGGCAGACUAGAGUGCGGUAGGGGAGAUUGGAAUUCCUGGUGUAGCGGUGGAAUGCGCAGAUAUCAGGAGGAACACCGAUGGCGAAGGCAGAUCUCUGGGCCGUAACUGACGCUGAGGAGCGAAAGCGUGGGGAGCGAACAGG
rnacentral:rRNA from 1 species